rnacentral:rRNA from 1 species
AACGAACGUUAGCGGCGCGCCUAACACAUGCAAGUCGCACGAGAAAGGGCUUCGGCCCCGGUAAAGUGGCGCACGGGUGAGUAACACGUGGGUAAUCUGCCCUCGAGCAGGGGAUAACGGUCCGAAAGGACCGCUAAUACCGUAUAAGACCACGACCUCGAAAGAGGAUGCGGUCAAAGCUGGCCUCUAUUCAUAAGCUAGCACUUGAGGAUGAGCCCGCGGCGCAUCAGGUAGUUGGUGAGGUAAUGGCUCACCAAGCCUAAGACGCGUAGCUGGUCGGAGAGGAUGAUCAGCCACACUGGAACUGAGACACCGUCCAGACUCCUACGGGAGGCAGCAGUGGGGGAUCUUGCGCAAUGGGCGAAAGCCUGACGCAGCGACGCCGCGUGAGUGAUGAAGGCCUUCGGGUUGUAAAGCUCUGUGGGGAGAGACGAAUAAGUGCAGUCUAAUACAUUGCAUGAUGACGGUAUCUCCUUAGCAAGCACCGGCUAACUCUGUGCCAGCCGCCGCGGUAACAC